UUGUAGAAAAAUGACACCUGCAUUAUAUCCUGGGAUGAAGAAACGUUAUUUUAUGUCGAUUUCUUUAGAUGACAAAGGAGGUAACCAAAUAGCAUAUCUUACAAAAUCUGAGGACAAUAAUAAGGAUCGUUUAGCAAGGUUAAAAUAAUUAUUUUACUAAAUUAAGACAUUAACAUAUCCAUGUGUUCGACAUAACCUCACUUCUUAAAUCUCUUAAAUUAGUCGGUUGAGAAGCGGAUCGAGAAUGAUUGUUUGAAUAUAAGUCGUACAAAAUUGGAAUGAAACGAUGAACAAUAUACAGAUCUUUAGACAGGCUCAAAUAAUGUAUGUUUAGGAGCAACUUGAAGAUAAUGGAGAUUUAUCUUCUUAAUAUAAAACCUCUAAAAUUGGGAACAGUAUGUCAUAUAUGCAUGAACUUGAUUGAUGUAUUGAUGUAUAAUGAACUGAAGAUAGAAUGAAUUCAAUCAGGUUAAAAAAAAUGUAUGUGCAAAAGCGACUCGAAGACGAUUUAGAUUUGUCUCCUGAAUAUAAAACUUCCAAGAAGUACAUCAUAUAUGAAUAUCCUGUAUCCUCGCAUUUGAUGUAUUGAACUGGCGAUAGAAUGAAAUCAGUCAGUGUUAAAAAUGUAUGUGUAAAAGCGACUUUAAGAUGAUGGAGAUUUGUACACUGAACAUAAAACUUCCAAAAUUUGGGGCAGUAUGUCAUAUGUGCAUAAUCUGUAUCCUGGCAUUUGAUGCAAUGAACUGGCGAUAGAAUGAAAUAAUGAAAAAUAGGCAGGCUGUUUGAUGUAUAAGGAAGUGGCGAUAGAAUACUUAUGCAAACUUCACAC